UGUGUGGUGGAGUUGGUUAAAACUUUUAUAUAAAACUCAAAAGACUUGGGUUCAAAACCCAAUAGGAGAA
rnacentral:tRNA from 1 species